CCUACGGGUGGCUGCAGUGAGGAAUAUUGGUCAAUGGGCUUACGCCUGAACCAGCCAAGUCGCGUGAGGGAAGACUGCCCUAUGGGUUGUAAACCUCUUUUGUCAGGGAGCAAUUGGCGCUACGUGUAGCGUUAUCGAGAGUACCUGAAGAAAAAGCAUCGGCUAACUCCGUGCCAGCAGCCGCGGUAAUACGGAGGAUGCGAGCGUUAUCCGGAUUUAUUGGGUUUAAAGGGUGCGUAGGCGGAAUGCCAAGUCAGCGGUAAAAUCGCGGGGCUCAACCUCGCUCCGCCGUUGAAACUGGCGUUCUUGAGUGGGCGAGAAGUAUGCGGAAUGCGUGGUGUAGCGGUGAAAUGCAUAGAUAUCACGCAGAACUCCGAUUGCGAAGGCAGCAUACCGGCGCCCAACUGACGCUGAAGCACGAAAGCGUGGGUAUCGAACAGGAUUAGAUACCCUUGUAGUC
rnacentral:rRNA from 1 species